UUCUCUUUAUAUCUCUUUGUGUGAAUCUUAGCUUUUUUUCUGCAUUCUCUUUGUAAGUCAAGAUUUAACUCAUCAUUUUUUUCUAUUUUUUUCCACAGAUUCUUCUAAAGACAACCUGAGGAAUAUAUUUAUCUAUCGCCUGUACAACCACCACCGGUUCUCCUUGUUUUUUGCCUUCCUCGUUUGUCUAGCUCACUAUGACUGAAAACAAGCCUGUUGUAUUUCCAUUAAAGCCGAUGUUCGGUCGGUUAUUGAAAAGUUUGGAGGAAAAUCCGAUGUCUACAACUUACACUCAGGGUCAAUUAGAAUUUGUAACGUUAUUUUUCAUUCGUCCACUUGACUCACCCUUUCUUUGGGAUUCGUUUGUCAUUCUGUUCAAUUCACUUGCUCCUGGUGAACCUGAUUUGGAUGAGUCGGGUGUUAAACGUGCCUAUGCGGAAGUGGCCACGCGGCUUGAACAAGUGAUUCUUGACUAUAAUCUUUCAGAUUUCUAUUAUUGUAUCGCUAGAAAAGAGAAAGAUCUUGCAGAUUGAUCUCUCUUUUUUGUCUCGGUCACUCAAUCAUAGACGAAAUUUCCUGUAUAAAUUGAAACUUGUCAACCAUCAAAAAAAAUUUUCUAAUAAUGUUCGCGACUUAAAACUUUGACAUGGAAUCAAAUUAUUGUAACAAUCAAAAGUUAAAAAGAAUAAAGAAUAAAGUGUCGCCACCUGUUGACUUUUAGAAAAAAAUUCUAUUUGUUGUCUUGUUUUGAUCUUGAUCACUUUCGAGUUGAAACUUUCAUUUUUAUUUACGGAGUAAAAAUAUUUUUUAUUACAAUCUGGUAUUAAUUGAAUUAACCAAUUUGAAUUAUUAUUAUGCAACUACCUGUUAACAACGAUUCUCUCUCACCAAAGGUUCUCAACUUGAAAAAUUUACGAAUCAGCUCACUAUGACUGAAAUAAAGCCCACUGAAUUUUUAGCCCCAAUCAAGCCGAUGGUCGAACGUUUAUUGAAGAGUUUGGAGGAAAAUCCGAUGUCUCAAAAUUUCAAUGAGAGUCAAAUCGAGUACGUAGUGUUAUGGUUCUCUCGUCCGAUUCGCACACCCAUGCAUUGGGACAUGUUUAUCAAGAUAUUCAAUUCACUUGCUCCUGGUGAACCGGAUUUGGAUGAGUCGGAUGUUAAACGAGCCUAUGCGGAAGUUACCAAGCGGCUUGAACAAGUGACUCUUAGCUAUAAACUUCCAGGUUUCGAUGGUUGUAUCGCUAGAAAAGAGAAAGAUCUGGUAGAUUGAUCGGCCUUUCAGUUACUUUUCGUCUCUUUCAGUUCUCAUUUUCGAAAAAAAUGUUGACACAGUUAACUCAAAUAAAGAUGAUUUAAUGGAAACGGCAGUGGUCCUAGAGAACGUUCUAUUCUCACAUAAUAAAACAAUCCUGAUCUGCGAAAUUGAACUUAUUUCUUCAUUAUUUAUUUAUGUUUAAUGUAGAAAAUUUUCCAUGAUAUAAGAAUAGAAUGUAAUAAACAAGAAUUGACGGUGGAAAACAA